AUUGAACGCUGGCGGUAUGCCUAACACAUGCAAGUCGAACGGCAGCAUGAUAGAGAUUUCGGUCUUUAUUGAUGGCGAGUGGCGGACGGGUGAGUAAUAGGUAGGAAUCUGUCCUGGAGAGUGGGAUAACACGCGGAAACGCGUGCUAAUACCGCAUAAUAUUGAGAAAUCAAAGCAGGGGACCCUUCGGGGCCUUGCGCUCUAGGUUGAGCCUACGUCGGAUUAGCUAGUUGGUGGGGUAAAGGCCUACCAAGGCGACGAUCCGUAGCUGGUCUGAGAGGAUGACCAGCCACACUGGGACUGAGACACGGCCCAGACUCCUACGGGAGGCAG
rnacentral:rRNA from 1 species